rnacentral:rRNA from 1 species
AGAGUUUGAUCCUGGCUCAGGACGAACGCUGGCGGCGUGCCUAACACAUGCAAGUCGAGCGGAGAAGAGCAUUCAUGUUCUUUUCAGCGGCGGACGGGUGAGUAACACGUGGGUAACCUGCCUCGAAAUGGGGGAUAGCCUUCCGAAAGGAAGAUUAAUACCGCAUAACCUCGGAUCUCCGCAUGGAGGACCGAGAAAAGGAGAAAUCCGUUUCGAGAUGGACCCGCGGCGCAUUAGCUAGUUGGUGAGGUAACGGCCCACCAAGGCGACGAUGCGUAGCCGACCUGAGAGGGUGAUCGGCCACAUUGGAACUGGAACACGGACCAGACUCCUACGGGAGGCAGCAGUGAGGAAUUUUGCGCAAUGGGGGCAACCCUGACGCAGCGACGCCGCGUGGGUGAUGAAGGUUUUCGGAUCGUAAAGCCCUGUCAAGUGGAAAGAAAGGCUGACGGAAUAACAAGACGUCAGAUUGACGGUACCACUAAAGGAAGCACCGGCUAACUCUGUGCCAGCAGCCGCGGUAAUACAGAGGGUGCGAGCGUUGUUCGGAAUUACUGGGCGUAAAGGGCGCGUAGGCGGCUUUAUAAGUCAGAUGUGAAAGCCCCCGGCUUAACUGGGGAAGUGCAUCUGAAACUGUGAGGCUUGAGUAUGGGAGAGGAAAGUGGAAUUCCCGGUGUAGAGGUGAAAUUCGUAGAUAUCGGGAGGAACACCUGUGGCGAAAGCGACUUUCUGGACCAAUACUGACGCUGAGGCGCGAAAGCGUGGGGAGCAAACAGGAUUAGAUACCCUGGUAGUCC